CCUACGGGAGGCAGCAGUGGGGGAUAUUGCACAAUGGGGGAAACCCUGAUGCAGCGACGCCGCGUGGGUGAAGAAGUAUUUCGGUAUGUAAAGCUCUAUCAGCAGGGAAGAAAGAAGACGGUACCUGACUAAGAAGCCCCUGCUAACUACGUGCCAGCAGCCGCGGUAAUACGUAGGGGGCGAGCGUUAUCCGGAUGCACUGGGUGUAAAGGGAGCGUAGACGGCCGUGCAAGCCAGGAGUGAAAGCCCGGGGCCCAACCCCUGGACUGCUCUUGGAACUGUGCGGCUUGAGUGCAGGAGGGGCAGGCGGAAUUCCUGGUGUAGCGGUGAAAUGCGUAGAUAUCAGGAGGAACACCGGCGGCGAAGGCGGCCUGCUGGACUGCGACUGACGUUGAGGCUCGAAAGCGUGGGGAGCAAACAGGAUUAGAUACCCUAGUAGUC
rnacentral:rRNA from 1 species